rnacentral:rRNA from 1 species
UCUUGGUCAUUUAGAGGAAGUAAAAGUCGUAACAAGGUUUCCGUAGGUGAACCUGCGGAAGGAUCAUUACCGAGUGAGGGCCCUCUGGGUCCAACCUCCCACCCGUGUUUAUUUUACCUUGUUGCUUCGGCGGGCCCGCCUUAACUGGCCGCCGGGGGGCUUACGCCCCCGGGCCCGCGCCCGCCGAAGACACCCUCGAACUCUGUCUGAAGAUUGUAGUCUGAGUGAAAAUAUAAAUUAUUUAAAACUUUCAACAACGGAUCUCUUGGUUCCGGCAUCGAUGAAGAACGCAGCGAAAUGCGAUACGUAAUGUGAAUUGCAAAUUCAGUGAAUCAUCGAGUCUUUGAACGCACAUUGCGCCCCCUGGUAUUCCGGGGGGCAUGCCUGUCCGAGCGUCAUUGCUGCCCUCAAGCACGGCUUGUGUGUUGGGCCCCGUCCUCCGAUCCCGGGGGACGGGCCCGAAAGGCAGCGGCGGCACCGCGUCCGGUCCUCGAGCGUAUGGGGCUUUGUCACCCGCUCUGUAGGCCCGGCCGGCGCUUGCCGAUCAACCCAAAUUUUUAUCCAGGUUGACCUCGGAUCAGGUAGGGAUACCCGCUGAACUUAAGCAUAUCAAUAAGCGGAGG